CAGUCGACGAUGAAGCCCAGCUUGCUGGGUGGAUUAGUGGCGAACGGGUGAGUAACACGUGAGUAACCUGCCCUUAACUCUGGGAUAAGCCUGGGAAACUGGGUCUAAUACCGGAUAGGAGCGUCCACCGCAUGGUGGGUGUUGGAAAGAUUUAUCGGUUUUGGAUGGACUCGCGGCCUAUCAGCUUGUUGGUGAGGUAAUGGCUCACCAAGGCGACGACGGGUAGCCGGCCUGAGAGGGUGACCGGCCACACUGGGACUGAGACACGGCCCAGACUCCUACGGGAGGCAGCAGUGGGGAAUAUUGCACAAUGGGCGAAAGCCUGAUGCAGCGACGCCGCGUGAGGGAUGACGGCCUUCGGGUUGUAAACCUCUUUCAGUAGGGAAGAAGCGAAAGUGACGGUACCUGCAGAAGAAGCACCGGCUAACUACGUGCCAGCAGCCGCGGUAAUACGUAGGGUGCGAGCGUUAUCCGGAAUUAUUGGGCGUAAAGAGCUCGUAGGCGGUUUGUCGCGUCUGUCGUGAAAGUCCGGGGCUUAACCCCGGAUCUGCGGUGGGUACGGGCAGACUAGAGUGCAGUAGGGGAGACUGGAAUUCCUGGUGUAGCGGUGGAAUGCGCAGAUAUCAGGAGGAACACCGAUGGCGAAGGCAGGUCUCUGGGCUGUAACUGACGCUGAGGAGCGAAAGCAUGGGGAGCGAACAGGAUUAGAUACCCUGGUAGUCCAUGCCGUAAACGUUGGGCACUAGGUGUGGGGACCAUUCCACGGUUUCCGCGCCGCAGCUAACGCAUUAAGUGCCCCGCCUGGGGAGUACGGCCGCAAGGCUAAAACUCAAAGGAAUUGACGGGGGCCCGCACAAGCGGCGGAGCAUGCGGAUUAAUUCGAUGCAACGCGAAGAACCUUACCAAGGCUUGACAUGUUCUCGAUCGCCGUAGAGAUACGGUUUCCCCUUUGGGGCGGGUUCACAGGUGGUUGCAUGGUUGUCGUCAGCUCGUGUCGUGAGAUGUUUGGGUUAAGUCCCGCAACGAGCGCAACCCUCGUUCCAUGUUGCCAGCACGUCCUUGGUGGGGACUCAUGGGAGACUGCCGGGGUCAAUUCGGAAGGAAAGUGGAGGACGACGUCAAA
rnacentral:rRNA from 1 species